rnacentral:tRNA from 1 species
AAGAGGUGUAAGUAAACCAUUAGAGCUGCUAACUCAAAUAGCUAGGAAUAAUACCCUUAGACCUCUUA